UACAGAGGGCAGCUACCCAGCAAUGGGAUGCGAAUCUCGAAAGCCUGUCUCAGUUCGGAUUGGAGGCUGAAACCCGCCUCCAUGAAGUUGGAUUCGCUAGUAAUCGCGCAUCAGCCAUGGCGCGGUGAAUACGUUCCCGGGCCUUGUACACACCGCCCGUCAAGCCAUGGGAGCCGGGGGUGCCUGAAGUUCGUGACCGCAAGGAGCGACCUAGGGCAAAACUGGUGACUGGGGCUAAGUCGUAACAAGGUAUC
rnacentral:rRNA from 1 species